rnacentral:rRNA from 1 species
GCUUGUCUCAAAGAUUAAGCCAUGCAUGUCCAAGUACAAACCGUUGUACGGUGAAACUGCGAAUGGCUCAUUAAAUCAGUGAUUGUUUACUUGAGAGUCUCUUGCCCACAAGGAUAACCGUGGUAACCCAGAGCUAAUACUUGCGCGGGGGCCGGACUGCGGCAGCGCGGAACGGCAGCGCUUAUUAGGUAGCAAACCGACGCCUUGCGGCCGCCUGGUGAUUCAUAAUAAGCAGCGGAUCGUACGGCCGCGCGCCGACGACGCCUCAACCAAAUUUCUGCCCUAUCAGCUGUCGACGGUAGGAUAGAGGCCUACCGUGGCCGUCACGGGUAACGGAGAAUAGGGGUUCGAUUCCGGAGAGGGAGCCUGAGAAACGGCUGCCAGUCCCAAGGAAGGCAGCAGG